CUCGUAGGUGGCCAACUAAGUCAGACGUGAAAUCCCUCGGCUUAACCGGGGAACUGCGUCUGAUACUGGAUGGCUUGAGUUUUGGGAGAGGGACGCGGAAUUCCAGGUGUAGCGGUGAAAUGCGUAGAUAUCUGGAGGAACACCGGUGGCGAAGGCGGCGUCCUGGACCAACACUGACACUGAUGAGCGAAAGCCAGGGGAGCAAAACG
rnacentral:rRNA from 1 species